rnacentral:rRNA from 1 species
UACGGAGGGUGCAAGCGUUGUCCGGAUUUAUUGGGUUUAAAGGGUGCGUAGGCGGCCUUUUAAGUCAGUGGUGAAAUCCCGGGGCUCAACCCCGGAACUGCCGUUGAUACUGGCGGGCUUGAGUUCGGUGAAGGCGGGCGGAACUGGCGGUGUAGCGGUGAAAUGCUUAGAUACCGCCAAGAACCCCGAUUGCGUAGGCAGCUCGCUGUGCCGAAACUGACGCUGAGGCACGAAAGCGUGGGGAGCGAACAGG